rnacentral:rRNA from 1 species
UUCGACACACUAUCAUUAACUGAAUCCAUAGGUUAAUGAGGCGAACCGGGGGAACUGAAACAUCUAAGUACCCCGAGGAAAAGAAAUCAACCGAGAUUCCCCCAGUAGCGGCGAGCGAACGGGGAGGAGCCCAGAGCCUGAAUCAGUGUGUGUGUUAGUGGAAGCGUCUGGAAAGGCGCGCGAUACAGGGUGACAGCCCCGUACACAAAAAUGCACAUAUUGUGAGCUCGAUGAGUAGGGCGGGACACGUGGUAUCCUGUCUGAAUAUGGGGGGACCAUCCUCCAAGGCUAAAUACUCCUGACUGACCGAUAGUGAACCAGUACCGUGAG